rnacentral:rRNA from 1 species
AAUCAACGCUGGCGGCGUGCCUCAGACAUGCAAGUCGAACGAUUAAAGCUCCCUUCGGGGAGUGCAUAAAGUGGCGCACGGGUGAGUAACACGUAAGUAAUCUACCUUCGAGUGGGGAAUAACCCGGGGAAACCCGAGCUAAUACCGCAUAAUGCAGCGGCACCUAAUGGUGACAGUUGUUAAAGGAGCAAUCCGCUUGAAGAGGAGCUUGAGGCAGAUUAGCUAGUUGGUAAGGUAAUGGCUUACCAAGGCUACGAUCUGUAUCCGGUCUAAGAGGACGGUCGGACACACUGACACUGAAUAACGGGUCAGACUCCUACGGGAUGCAGCAGUCGGGAAUUUUGGGCAAUGGGGGAAACCCUGACCCAGCAACGCCGCGUGAAGGAUGAAGUAUUUCGGUAUGUAAACUUCGAAAGAAUAGGAAGAAUUAAUGACGGUACUAUUUAUAAGGUCCGGCUAACUACGUGCCAGCCGCCGCUGUAACAC